UCUGAGCGCAAUUGGAGCAUCCUUGGUCCAUUCCCAAUCGAAAAACGAUUCUUCAAAUCAUCCCAAAGUUCCUUGGCUGUCUCAUAAUAGGUAAUUGUUGAUCGCAGAUUCAGCUCAAUGGAUGUAGCAAUCCACCCAACAAGCAUCGAAUUAACACUCCACCAGUCUUCAAUAUCAGGAUCAUCUUCUUUAGGUUGCGUGAUUUUCCCUUCCAAAAAAGAAUAUUUUCUUCUGGCUCGAAACGCAUUACGCAUAGAUCGAAACCAUUCCUCAUAGUUAUCAUCAUUCAGUUUCACCGGAGAAAUAACCAUACCCGUGUGAUCUGAAGGAUGCAGGUAAUACUGUGAAGAUGAAUCAUUUUUUUUUUCACCAUUGGAUGUCGUUUUCUUUUCAGAUUCUUUCUCAGCUUCUUUCCCAGUCAUGAUGCAAUGCUUCGGCACAAACAAAAGAAAGAACAACUCGGAAUAAAAUAUUUGAUUAUUUUGUUUUUGGCUCGGAUGCCAUGAAACAAUGAGUAUGAAGAAUAGAAUUGAUAUAUUCAAUCUUGGUUAAACUCUUACGAUUACAGAGAAUAUAUAGAUGUUGUACAUAGCAUAUAAAAACAACCCAAAAGAUAUCAUACUGUAUACAUCUAAUAUCUUGCCUAAGAUACGUAUAUACUCCCUAAGAAUGAUUAUAACAGAAUAUAUGCAUAAUAUAUAGAGUAUAUUUCCUAAUAGUCAGUCUCAGAUUUCCCGUCUUGGAUUCUUUAACAGUGUCUGGUCUUACAUCAAGACCAACAACCUUCAGGAUCCAAACAACAAGAACAUGGGACCAACUGUGAUGAAAAGUUGAAGAUGAUUUUGCUUGGUAAGCCUCGGAUUGAGUUGGCUGAACUCCCCAUGUUGAUCAAGCUCCAUUUUCCUAAAGAGCCCAAGUGAAGAACCAUCAGGUUCACGUAAGGCUGCCUACGUGUAACAUAGUGUUUUUUCUUGUUCAUUUAGGAGACCCUUUUAACAAAGAAUCAUGAUAUUGGGCAUACCAAAAACUUUCAAGGCAUACAAAUGACUAGUCCUAACUUGGGUGACCUUAUAAGGGGUACCCUAUGGGUGGUUUAAUUA